rnacentral:rRNA from 1 species
GACGAACGCUGGCGGCGUGCUUAACACAUGCAAGUCGAACGGAAAGGCCCUGCUUUUGUGGGGUGCUCGAGUGGCGAACGGGUGAGUAACACGUGAGUAACCUGCCCUUGACUUUGGGGUAACUUCAGGAAACUGGGGCUAAUACCGGAUAGGAGCUCCUGCUGCAUGGUGGGGGUUGGAAAGUUUCGGCGGUUGGGGAUGGACUCGCGGCUUAUCAGCUUGUUGGUGGGGUAGUGGCUUACCAAGGCUUUGACGGGUAGCCGGCCUGAGAGGGUGACCGGCCACAUUGGGACUGAGAUACGGCCCAGACUCCUACGGGAGGCAGCAGUGGGGAAUAUUGCACAAUGGGCGGAAGCCUGAUGCAGCAACGCCGCGUGCGGGAUGACGGCCCUCGGGUUGUAAACCGCUUUCGCCUGUGACGAAGCGUGAGUGACGGUAAUGGGUAAAGAAGCACCGGCUAACUACGUG